AUGAACGCUAGCGACCGGCCUAACACAUGCAAGUCGAGGGGCAGCACAAGGAGCAAUCUGAGGUGGCGACCGGCGCACGGGUGAGUAACACGUAUGCAACCUGCCUGUAAGCGGGGAAUAACCCGUUGAAAGACGGACUAAUACCGCAUAAUACUAAAUUACUGCAUGGUAAUUUAUUUAAACAUUUAUGGCUUACAGAUGGGCAUGCGCAUGAUUAGCUAGUUGGAGAGGUAACGGCUCCCCAAGGCAACGAUCAUUAGGGGUUCUGAGAGGAAGGUCCCCCACACUGGUACUGAGACACGGACCAGACUCCUACGGGAGGCAGCAGUGAGGAAUAUUGGUCAAUGGACGAGAGUCUGAACCAGCCAAGUCGCGUGCAGGAAGAAUGUCCUUAAUGGAUUGUAAACUGCUUUUGCAGGGGAAUAAAGUGCAUCACGUGUGAUGUUUUGUAUGUACUCUGCGAAUAAGGAUCGGCUAACUCCGUGCCAGCAGCCGC
rnacentral:rRNA from 1 species